GGAGAAAGAAAAGAUCCGUGCGGCCAAAAUAAGAGAAGAGUCUCUUAAGGUUGCGGCGUGGAUUGCCGUAUGUUUAAAGAAUCUCCAACACUUCGAAACAAUAUGGAUUCCAUACCACUUCAACAAUCACUGGAUAGUCAUAGGUGUCGAUGUCGGGAUGAACAUGGCAUGGAUUUGUGAUUCUGCAGAUUUUGACCCUCACACAUAUAAAGACUUCAUGUCAAUUCUCAUUACGGCAUUCAGGGCCUAUGUCAAGAAUCACAAAGGAAGGCAUGAUCCAGGUCUGGGG